rnacentral:tRNA from 1 species
UCCCAUGUAGCUCAGUAGGUAAAGAAUCUGCCUGCAAUGCAGAAGACCCGGGUUCGAUCCCUGGGUUGGGAA